CUGUAUGUCUAGCAGGGGAGACUGUGACUGUCCUAUAAGGAGUGUUUGUGUUGUUUACUUUAAAACAAGCUUUGCUAAUUAAAGUAGUGUAUUCCGGAGUCCUAUUUGAAUGGCAUGAAGGGUAUCAAUGAAGAAGAUACAAAGUAUGCUUCUACAGCUCUCCUGGCUUCUUGUUUCUUUUCCUUCAGCCCUCUCUAGGGGACACAGAUAAAGCUGUAAACAUGUGGACGUUGCCAGGAUUACUAAAUUCGGUAAUUCAGCGCCUUCUGAUGGGCUUCAUUUAAGAAGCAUUUACAGCGCUACAUAAAUAUAAAGUCAGCUUGUGUGCUGGCCUGAACAUCUCCUGCAUGGUGAGAGGCCGUACAUGUGGGACGCUGAUGAGCUGCAGCGGAUCAAUGGACUCGUCUGUGCGGAAGGAGAUCCGGGUGCCUCUGCAAAACUCCCUCUCUGCUGGAGGCAAAUGAAUGGGAUGAAGACUGACUCGGGACAGUUCAUCGUGUGGUCUGGAGCGUUUCUUGGAUGCUCCAGAAUUAUGGACAAAGCAUAAUUCUACGUUAUCAGUGUGAGAAGGAGUUAAACGCACAGUUUCUCUACAGCAGUGUGGUGUAAGAGUCUGGCAGCUCCAUCCCCUUCUCUGCUUCCUGAACCACCAACCACCACCAGACUUUUCAGAAAAGUAUAGUCAUUUCAGGAAAUUACUUACCUGUGUCCUCUAUCCUGGACUAAUUAUAUUUUUUCAGAAGGAAGAACCAAAAAGACACAAGACUUAAAAAUUUCUUUGCAUGAAUAACUACUGUGUGUAUGUGAUUGAAAAUAAAAGCAAGUCUUUAAAAUCA
rnacentral:lncRNA from 1 species